AAUAUUGCACAAUGGGCGCAAGCCUGAUGCAGCCAUGCCGCGUGUAUGAAGAAGGCCUUCGGGUUGUAAAGUACUUUCAGCGGGGAGGAAGGGAGUAAAGUUAAUACCUUUGCUCAUUGACGUUACCCGCAGAAGAAGCACCGGCUAACUCCGUGCCAGCAGCCGCGGUAAUACGGAGGGUGCAAGCGUUAAUCGGAAUUACUGGGCGUAAAGCGCACGCAGG
rnacentral:rRNA from 1 species